rnacentral:tRNA from 1 species
GGGAAUAUGGCUUAGUGGUAGAGUGCUUGCCUAACAUGCAUGAAGCCCUGGGCUCGAUUUCUCAGUACCA